UACGUAGGGGGCAAGCGUUGUCCGGAAUCAUUGGGCGUAAAGAGCGUGUAGGCGGCCUGGUAAGUCCGCUGUGAAAGUCCAGGGCUCAACCCUGGAAUGCCGGUGGAAACUGUCAAGCUAGAGUCCGGAAGAGGCGAGUGGAAUUCCUGGUGUAGCGGUGGAAUGCGCAGAUAUCAGGAGGAACACCAAUGGCGAAGGCAGAUCUCUGGGCAUUAACUGACGCUGAGGAGCGAAAGCAUGGGGAGCGAACAGG
rnacentral:rRNA from 1 species